UACGGAAGGCAGCAGUGGGGAAUAUUGCACAAUGGGCGAAAGCCUGAUGCAGCUAUGCCGCGUGUAUGAAGAAGGCCUUAGGGUUGUAAAGUACUUUCAUCGGGGAGGAAAAAACAAAACUAAUAAUUUUAUUUCUUGACGUUACCCGAAAAAGAAGCACCGGCUAACUCCGUGCCAGCAGCCGCGGUAAUACGGAGGGUGCUAGCGUUAAUCAGAAUUACUGGGCGUAAAGAGCACGUAGGUGGUUUUUUUAAGUCAGAUGUGAAAUCCCUGGGCUUAACCUAGGAACUGCAUUUUGAAACUGAAAUACUAGAGUAUCGUAGAGGGAGGUAGAAUUCUAGGUGUAGCGGUGAAAUGCGUAGAUAUCUGGAGGAAUACCUGUGGCGAAAGCGGCCUCCUAAACGAAUACUGACACUGAGGUGCGAAAGCGUUGGGGAGCAAACAGGGAUUAGAUACC
rnacentral:rRNA from 1 species